UACAGAGGUCCCAAGCGUUGUUCGGAUUCACUGGGCGUAAAGGGUGCGUAGGUGGCCAGGUAAGUUUGAUGUGAAAGCUCGGAGCUUAACUCCGAAAUGGCAUUGAAUACUAUCUGGCUUGAGGGUCGGAGGGGAGACUGGAAUUCUCGGUGUAGCAGUGAAAUGCGUAGAUAUCGGGAGGAACACCAGUGGCGAAGGCGACUACCUGGCCCAUUCUUGACGCUGAGGCGCGAAAGCUAGGGGAGCGAACGGG
rnacentral:rRNA from 1 species